rnacentral:rRNA from 1 species
GACGAACGCUGGCGGCGUGCCUAAUACAUGCAAGUAGAACGCUGAAGAGAGGAGCUUGCUCUUCUUGGAUGAGUUGCGCACGGGUGAGUAACGCGUAGGUAACCUGCCUUGUAGCGGGGGAUAACUAUUGGAAACGAUAGCUAAUACCGCAUAACAAUGGAUGACACAUGUCAUUUAUUUGAAAGGGGCAAUUGCUCCACUACAAGAUGGACCUGCGUUGUAUUAGCUAGUAGGUGAGGUAACGGCUCACCUAGGCGACGAUACAUAGCCGACCUGAGAGGGUGAUCGGCCACACUGGGACUGAGACACGGCCCAGACUCCUACGGGAGGCAGCAGUAGGGAAUCUUCGGCAAGGGGGGCAACCCUGACCGAGCAACGCCGCGUGAGUGAAGAAGGUUUUCGGAUCGUAAAGCUCUGUUGUAAGUCAAGAACGAGUGUGAGAGUGGAAAGUUCACACUGUGACGGUAGCUUACCAGAAAGGGACGGCUAACUACGUG